rnacentral:rRNA from 1 species
UAGGGAAUCUUCGGCAAUGGACGAAAGUCUGACCGAGCAACGCCGCGUGAGUGAAGAAGGCUUUCGGAUCGUAAAACUCUGUUGUUAGAGAAGAACAAGGACGUUAGUAACUGAACGUCCCCUGACGGUAUCUAACCAGAAAGCCACGGCUAACUACGUGCCAGCAGCCGCGGUAAUACGUAGGUGGCAAGCGUUGUCCGGAAUUAUUGGGCGUAAAGCGAGCGCAGGCGGUUUCUUAAGUCUGAUGUGAAAGCCCCCGGCUCAACCGGGGAGGGUCAUUUGAAACUGGGAGACUUGAGUGCAGAAGAGGAGAGUGGAAUUCCAUGUGUAGCGGUGAAAUGCGUAGAUAUAUGGAGGAACACCAGUGGCGAAGGCGGCUCUCUGGUCUGUAACUGACGCUGAGGCGCGAAAGCGUGGGGAGCAAACAGG